rnacentral:rRNA from 1 species
CCUACGGGUGGCUGCAGUGGGGAAUAUUGGGCAAUGGGCGCAAGCCUGACCCAGCAACGCCGCGUGAAGGAAGAAGGCUUUCGGGUUGUAAACUUCUUUUGACAGGGAAGAGCAGAAGACGGUACCUGUCGAAUAAGCCACGGCUAACUACGUGCCAGCAGCCGCGGUAAUACGUAGGUGACAAGCGUUGUCCGGAUUUACUGGGUGUAAAGGGCGUGUAGCCGGGCUGACAAGUCAGAUGUGAAAUCCGGGGGCUAAAACCCCGAACUGCAUUGGAAACUGUUGGUCAUGAGUAUCGGAGAGGCAGGCGGAAUUCCUGGUGGAGCGGUGAAAUGCGUAGAUAUUAAGAGGAA